rnacentral:rRNA from 1 species
AUGCUUCGGGGCAGCCGACCGGCAGUGGCCACGGCGGCGGCGCUGCUCCUCUCGCCGGCGGCGGCGCCGGCGCCCCGCCUCCCGCGCCGAUUCCUCUCCCUCACCGCCACCCCCUACCCGCUCUACUACGACCUCCUCGUCCACCGCCCCGUCAAACCCCCCAAAUCCACCCCCUCCGACGCCACCGACGCCGCCGCCCCCCGCCCCCCGCCGCCCGACGCGGAGGGCGCCGACGAGCAUCAGCAGCCCGCUCUCGACCGCGCGCAGCGCAAGUACCUACGGAAGCGCCGCAGCCGGCAGCUCCCGGACCCGGACGCCACCACGGGCACCAAGCCGACGACCACGUCGGAGAUGGUGGAGCUGCGGCCGGAGGUGGUGGACUUCCCUCGCCUCCACGCGCGCGAGGAGGCGCUCUACUUCCACGACGCCUUCGCCAUGCCCUGGGAGAAGGACAAGCACUACCGCAUGCUCUACCGCCUCGAGAAGAAGUACUUCCCGGAGCAGUCCCUCGACAACGCCUUCGUCGCCGCCGACGCCGCCGCGCCGGCGCCCUCCGACGCCGCCGACAAGGGCCUCGUCUUCUUCGAGGAGGAGAAGGAGGAGGGCGGGGAGGUCGGGAAGAAGGAGGGGGCAGACAAGGGGGAGGUGCUGGAGAGGAAGGUGGAGGAGUUCUUCAGGGCCCUGAAGAAAGGGCCUGAGGAGGGGAAGGCCGACGACGCUUCGACGGUGGCGAAGAAGAAGGCGGUGUUGGGAGGGGCGCCGAGGCAGGUGAAGCGGGAUGCGGAGAGGGAGGAAGAAGACUGGCCGCGGCCGCACCUCGCGAGCACGAGGACGGAGCUGCCGCCUAGGUGGGACGGCCCGACCGGGACCGUCGUGCUCAUCGACAAGCCCAAAGGGUGGACCUCAUUUACUGUUUGUGGAAAACUACGGCGGUUGGUGAAAGUGCAAAAGGUUGGCCAUGCUGGUACUCUGGAUCCUAUGGCCACUGGAUUGUUGAUUGUUUGUGUGGGCAAAGCAACCAAAGUUGUUGAUAGAUAUCAAGGCAUGGUUAAAGGCUAUAGUGGUGUUUUCCGGCUUGGAGAAGCAACAUCAACCUGGGAUGCAGAUUCACCAGUUAUUCAGAGGGAAUCAUGGGAACACAUCAAAGAUGAAGAUAUUAGAAAGGCAGCAGCAUCAUUCAUGGGUGAAAUAUGGCAAGUUCCUCCGAUGUUUUCUGCCAUCAAGGUGGGUGGUGAAAAAAUGUAUGACAAGGCAAGGAGGGGCGAAUCGAUAGAGCUUUCACCAAGACGUAUAUCAAUAUACAAGUUUGAUAUCGAGCGCAGUUUAGAAGACAGGCAAAAUUUGAUAUUUCGAGUUACUUGCUCGAAAGGAACAUACAUUCGGUCCCUCUGCGCAGACUUGGGGAAAGCUCUUCGAAGCUGUGCUCAUUUAACUGCCCUUCGGAGGGACUCAAUUGGUGACUAUUCGGUCAAUGACGCUUGGAACUUUGACGAACUGCAAGAACAAAUCACCAAGGGAUACCUAUGA